UCCUACGGGAGGCAGCAGUGAGGAAUAUUGGUCAAUGGGCGGAAGCCUGAACCAGCCAAGUCGCGUGAGGGAAUAAGGCCCUACGGGUCGUAAACCUCUUUUGCCGGGGAGCAAGGGCGGGGACGUGUCCCGGCCCGGAGAGUACCCGGAGAAAAAGCAUCGGCUAACUCCGUGCCAGCAGCCGCGGUAAUACGUAGGUGGCAAGCGUUAUCCGGAUUUACUGGGUGUAAAGGGCGUGUAGGCGGGAAAG
rnacentral:rRNA from 1 species